GACGAACGCUGGCGGCGUGCUUAACACAUGCAAGUCGAACGGAAAGGCCCUGCUUUUGUGGGGUGCUCGAGUGGCGAACGGGUGAGUAACACGUGAGUAACCUGUCCCUGACUUUGGGAUAACUUCAGGAAACUGGGGCUAAUACCGGAUAGGAGCUUCUGCUGCAUGGUGGGGGAUGGUAAGUUUCGGCGGUUGGGGAUCGACUCGCGGCUUAUCAGCUUGAUGGUGGGGUAGUGGCUUACCAAGGCUUUGACGGGUAGCCGGCAUGAGAGGGUUACCGGCCACAUUGGGAAUGGGUGACGGCGCAGACUCCUACGGGAGGCAGCGGUGGGGAAUAUUGCAGAGCGGGCGGGAGCAUGAUGCAGCAAUGCCGCGUGCGGGAAGACGGCCUUCGGGUUAUAAACCUAUUUCGCCUGUGACGAAGAGUGAGUGACGGUAAUGGGUAAGGAAGCUCCGGCUAACUACGUG
rnacentral:rRNA from 1 species